GUCUUUGACAGUACAUAUACUAAAAUUGGAAUGACACAGAAAAGAUUAAUAUGGCUACUGUGUGAGGAUGACAUGCAAAUUCAUGAAGCAUUCCAUAUUUUU